rnacentral:lncRNA from 10 species
CCUAUGCUAAUGGUCACGAUAUUGUGUAUCUGUAAAGGCUUAGUACUUAAAGAAAAAUACUUUACAUGGUCCCCACAAUUCUGCAAAACAGAGGGAAGUGGUACGUGAAUUUCUCUGGGUAAGAAAACAUUCAGAAGUUAGAACAUUCAAGCAAGCAUUUAUUGAGUGCCACAUAAUGGGCCAGGCUUUAUGUUGCAAAAAUGGGAAUAAGCCAGAUAAAAGGCAUUUCUUACUGUAUAGUGUAAUGGGAAAGACAUGUUGCCUUGAGGAAAAUAAACUUCGUACAUAGGGACUUUGGAGGUGGAACGUUAAAGAUAACUUCCCUGAGUAGGCAAUAGCAGAGCUGUCUCUGUGGACUCUCAGAAGUUGGAUAGCAAAGAGGAAAUGGACCUUGAGGGAUAGUUAUAGUAUGUGAAGGAGGGAUCAGAAAACCAUUUCAGAAAACCACAAGUAAAUGAAGGUGGGUGCAUUCCAGCCUGGGCAACAAGAGUGGCAGAGGUGGGGCAAAGAGAGUAGAGAGUAACUGAAAUAUGCUGAGGAAUUUAAAGUUUAUAGGGUGGUGUGCUUUUCCAUUUUCUUAAUGUCACAGCACAUAAAGAAAAUUUGUAUGCACACUUCCUGGCCACC